rnacentral:lncRNA from 1 species
AACAGCCGGCCAAGGAAACAAAAGAAACAACUCAAAGCUCUUCAAAUUCCAUCUUCAUUUCUUCAACAAAACACCACCAAACUCCACCAAAAUUGAACCACACCUAGCUAAUCACUUGGUGAUCAUCUUAAGCUAGAAAAGGGGCUUCAUUUCCACAGUUUUCUUGAGCUUCAAAGUGACCAAAAAUUCUGAUUUAGUCAUCAAGAGAGGUAAUAAACGAUCAACCUCUUAAUUCUUGAUUUAUGGAAGUUAGAUUACACUCAUGAGCUCUUGGAUUCUCAUGGGUAGCUUUAAUUUGUUGUAAAAUUGGUGAGUGGGCUCUAUGAACUCCCACUCUUGGAUGAUGGCUGAUGUGAUGAUUAAUGAUGGGUUUAAUGUUGGUUUAGUGCUCAAAAUGGUAGAUUAAUGGUGUAUAACUAGUAGAAACUUCGAGGAGUGCAUGGAGUAAAACGUUCCGAUUUUGCCCCUGCUUUGAUCGUACCCUUUUCUGCAGAAUUUUGAGGGUUUAAUGGCUUGUAUAUGAUGUUUAUAUGUUGUAUAGUUCAUGUAAAAAAUUUCAUUGAAAAAUAUUGAGGUUUGGUAGGUCAAAUGAAUUAUUUUCGUGAAGCUAGUGAACCUGGGAACUGUUCCUGUAAUGCUCAGACAGCUUGCUUGUUUCGUUCGUAACUCUGUACUCCGAUGUCGAAAUUGAGUGCCGUCAGUGGAAUUUGAAACUAGACAUUCCCAGCUUUCCAUUGGUACCAAAUGCACAUUCUAGUUCCACUUGAGUGAGCCACACCAUUCGAUUGAAAAUCACUGUCCUGUUUCGGUUCUCUCCAGGAGACAGGACAGGACUUGUAUCUUGAUGCUAAUAAACGAGCUAUUUGUGGAUAGAAUUUGAAAAUGGUUUCUUCUGAUAAAAUUCAGAUUUAUGAAUGUGUUGUCCAACACCACCAACCAUGCUCAAUUCCAAGUUGAAUUGAGUGAGUUGUGGCCAUAUUUCGAAACUGAUGCAGAGAGUAAAAAUCCUCUUUUAACUAGUUAAAUAGCCUAACUUGAUUUGGGACUUGUUGUUUUGGAAACUUUGAUGUCCAACAUCUACCAAACUUUAUAUUAGAUGUUCCUUGGACUUUGUUUCACAAAUAAACUAUAUUUGGGUUGGUUGCUUUGGACAAAAGGUUUAAAAAGGAAAGAAGAGCUAGAAGACAGUUUUACCUUGGGGAAAUUUCUUGAACUUUGAUGGUUUAGUUAACUACCUUCUCGUGUGAAUUUUCAAAUGAAAUUUUAUAGAAGAGUAAUCUUCGUAUGGAGGUUUAAUUGUGUGAAAUUUGGUAAUAUUCUAAGACCAUUGUGAUAUGCAAAUGAUGUCACAAAAUUCGCUCAUCGAAUCUGGAAAACUUGUCGUUUUCUCUUAGUCAAAUGGUGAAAUCUGAUUUGGGGAGUUUUAUUUCGAAAAUUUGGAUGUCAAUGGUCUUUAAAUUGCUCAGUGGAUGUUUAUGAACUCUUGGUUUCAAUAAUGGAGAGAUUUGGAACUGAUUUCAUGGUACAAAAAGUUUGUAAACAAAAGAAAAGUGAGAAGGUAGUUUAGCCUUAAAACUCUUUAUAAACUUUGGUUGUUUUAAUGACCGCCUUACCGUGAGAGUUUUUGUAUGAAACUUGGUAGAAAUGUUGUUCACACAUGGAAGAUUUAGUGUACCAAGUUUGAUGUAUUUCUAAUGCCAACUCGAUGACCAAAUGAUACUUCGAAUCUAGUCUUCAAACCUUGAAAAUAGCCCAACAGUCUUAACUUUUUCAACAACUUGGGGCUACUAUAUCUUGGUACUCAAAACUCUGAUUCUUGUUUUGCUUAUUGUGUUUUUAAACCUUGUUUGCAACUCUAAUUGAGUUUCAAAUUUCAAAGGUUAGUACAAAACAAGUGAAUUUUGCUGAAUUUCCAAAUUUGGCCAAAAACCAACUUAAAUCUGUCUUGGUAAUUCAAGUUACCAACUUUGAACCAAAAUUUGAGUGCCUUUCACUUACAUUCAUGGAAAAGUGUUUUCUAAUAACUUUUACUACUUUCAAAGAGGUUUCCAAUUGUACCAAUUUUUCCAAUUUUUGACAUGUAGAAUGUGAGAUACGAUUUUUCAAAGUAUCGUAUCAAUCCUGAAAAUUUUUCAAAUUCCAAGGGAAGAGAGUUUUCAAAUACUCCUUAUUCCUUCGAUAUUACUUGAACAUUUUAUACUUGAUUUCCAAAUUGAAAACUCGAUUGCUCAUGUACUUUAAGAAACUCCUCUUGAACCUCGAUUUACGAGUAAUUAAGGUUCAUUUUCAUAAGAUUUCCUUAGAUUGCUCUAGCGUACAAUCUUCCUCGAUAAUUAGAGUUUCGUAGUGAUAUUGAGUGGUACUUGAUUAUUGUUUGCUUAGGCACUCGAGGGAAUCUCCAAGAGAAACUCGGAGCGGACACC